AUUGAACGCUGGCGGCAUGCCUUACACAUGCAAGUCGAACGGUAACAGGUCUUCGGAUGCUGACGAGUGGCGAACGGGUGAGUAAUACAUCGGAACGUGCCUAGUAGUGGGGGAUAACUACUCGAAAGAGUGGCUAAUACCGCAUGAGAUCUACGGAUGAAAGCAGGGGAUCGCAAGACCUUGUGCUACUAGAGCGGCCGAUGGCAGAUUAGGUAGUUGGUGGGAUAAAAGCUUACCAAGACGACGAUCUGUAGCUGGUCUGAGAGGACGAUCAGCCACACUGGGACUGAGACACGGCCCAGACGCCUACGGGAGGCAGCAGUGGGGAAUUUUGGACAAUGGGCGCAAGCCUGAUCCAGCAAUGCCGCGUGCAGGAUGAAGGCCUUCGGGUUGUAAACUGCUUUUGCACGGAACGAAAAGCCCCGGGUUAAUACCCUGGGGUCAUGACGGUACCGUAAGAAUAAGCACCGGCUAACUACGUGCCAGCCGCCGCCGUAA
rnacentral:rRNA from 1 species